UACGAGGGGGGCAAAUGUUGUUCGGAAUCACUGGGCGUAAAGGGAGCGUAGGCGGGUUUCUAAGUCAGGUGUUUAAUCCCGGGGCCCAACCCCGGACAGGCACUUGAAACUGGGAAUCUUGAAUAGUGGAGAGGUCAGUGGAAUUGGGGUGUAGCGGUGGAAUGCGUAGAGAUCCCCAAGAACACCAGUUGCGAAGGCGGCUGACUGGACACAUAUUGACGCUGAGGCUCGAAAGCAUGGGGAGCAAACAGG
rnacentral:rRNA from 1 species